UCGACCCCUUCAGUGCUGUUCUGUUAACGCGUUAAGUGUCCCGCCUGGGGAGUACGGCCGCAAGGCUAAAACUCAAAGGAAUUGACGGGGGCCCGCACAAGCGGUGGAGCAUGUUGGUUAAUUGGAUGAUACGCCAAGAACCUUACCAGGGCUUGACAUGUCGCUGACGACCUGGGAAACCAGGUGUUCCGCUUCGGCGGACAGCGUCACAGGUGGUGCAUGGUUGUCGACAGCUCGUGUCGUGAGAUGUUGGGUUAAGUCCCGCAACGAGCGCAACCCUCGCCGAAUGUUGCCAGCGGGUAAAGCCGGGGACUCUUUCGGGACUGCCUGAGUAAUCAGGAGGAAGGAGAGGACGACGUCAAAUCGGCAUGCCCCUAAUGCUCUGGGCUGCAAACGUGCUACAAUGGUCGGUACAAUGGGAAGCGAAGCCGCGAGGUGUAGCUAAUCCCCAAAACCGAUCUCAGUUCGGAUUGGGAGUNUGCAACUCGACCCCAUGAAGGUGGAAUCGCUAGUAAUCGUGGA
rnacentral:rRNA from 1 species